AUCCUUUUGUAGUUCAUAACCAUGAUGAUUGGGUUUUCACAAGCACGGGUGAGAUGUGCCUCCCUCAAACCUUGUUACGACAUAAGAACACUACCUGUCUGACA
rnacentral:snoRNA from 1 species